rnacentral:rRNA from 1 species
CAGCAGCCGCGGUAAAACGGAGGGGGCUAGCGUUGUUCGGAAUUACUGGGCGUAAAGCGCACGUAGGCUGCUUUGUAAGUCAGAGGUGAAAGCCCGGGGCUCAACCCCGGAUGUGCCUUUGAGACUGCAGGGCUAGAACGUCGGAGAGGUGAGUGGAAUUCCGAGUGUAGAGGUGAAAUUCGUAGAUAUUCGGAAGAACACCAGUGGCGAAGGCGGCUCACUGGACGACUGUUGACGCUGAGGUGCGAAAGCGUGGGGAGCAAACAGGAUUAGAGACCCCCGUAGUCCCUGUCUCUUAUAC